CCCUUAGAUGUUCUGGGCCGCACGCGCGCUACACUGAUGCAUUCAACGAGCCUAUCCUUGACCGACAGGUCCGGGUAAUCUUUGAAUCUGCAUCGUGACGGGGAUAGAUUAUUGCAAUUAUUAAUCUUCAACGAGGAAUGCCUAGUAGGCGCAAGUCAUCAGCUUGCGUCGAUUACGUCCCUGCCCUAUGUACACACCGCCCGUCGCUCCUACCGAUUGGGUGUGCUGGUGAAAUGUUCGGAUCGGCCGUUUGUCGCGGUUUCCGCGGCUCGUGGCUGAGAAGUUCAUUAAACCCUCCCACCUAGAGGAAGGAGAAGUCGUAACA
rnacentral:rRNA from 1 species